UACGGGGGGGGCAAGCGUUGUUCGGAAUUACUGGGCGUAAAGGGCUCGUAGGCGGCCAACUAAGUCAGACGUGAAAUCCCUCGGCUUAACCGGGGAACUGCGUCUGAUACUGGAUGGCUUGAGAUUGGGAGAGGGAUGCGGAAUUCCAGGUGUAGCGGUGAAAUUCGUAGAUAUCGGGAGGAACACCAGUGGCGAAGGCGGAGACCUGGGACGAUACUGACGCUGAGGUGCGAAAGCGUGGGGAGCAAACAGG
rnacentral:rRNA from 1 species